CUGUGAAAGAGAGAUACUCAUUGUGGUCUGCUGCCGGUUUCUCAGUGGUCGAAGCUGACAGCUGUCUUCACAGUUUUCCUACUGCCUUCACAUCAAAGCUGUUGUUAAUCAUCCUGUAAAUGCACUUGCUGCAGUCAUCAUUCAUUCGCUUCACACCUGCUGUUCCACAGUCUGGCAUGGAUCUUGAGGACAGCCUGACCAGAGAAGCUGUGGAGGGGACACUGCAGCAGGACACAGCGAGCGGACCCCAAGAGACAGUCCUGGAGAAAGGGUUUGAGCGACUUCCGUCUCUCCGAGGCUGCCACAGCUGGCGUGGUUCGUCUCACGCUGCCUUUUGUCGUCAUUGGACCUUCCUCCUCUGGG